rnacentral:rRNA from 1 species
GACGAACUGUCCUAACGUUGUUCGGAAUCACUGGGCUUAAGGACGGCGUAGCGGUCGACCAAGUCAGGGGUGAAAUCCUGCAGCUUAACUGUAGAAGUGCCUUUGAUACUGGUCGUCUCGAGGGAGGUAGGGGUGUGUGGAACUUCCAGUGGAGCGGUGAAAUGCGUUGAUAUUGGAAGGAACGCCGGAGGCGAAAGCGGCUCACUGGCCCGAUACUGACGCUGAUGCACGAAAGCGUGGGGAGCAAACAGG